rnacentral:rRNA from 1 species
CCUACGGGAGGCAGCAGUGGGGAAUAUUGGACAAUGGGCGAAAGCCUGAUCCAGCAAUGCCGCGUGAGUGAUGAAGGCCUUAGGGUUGUAAAGCUCUUUUACCAGGGAUAAUAAUGACAGUACCUGGAGAAUAAGCUCCGGCUAACUCCGUGCCAGCAGCCGCGGUAAUACGGAGGGAGCUAGCGUUGUUCGGAAUUACUGGGCGUAAAGCGUACGUAGGCGGUUAUUCAAGUCAGAGGUGAAAGCCUGGAGCUCAACUCCAGAACUGCCUUUGAAACUAGAUAGCUAGAAUCACGGAGAGGUUAGUGGAAUUCCGAGUGUAGAGGUGAAAUUCGUAGAUAUUCGGAAGAACACCAGUGGCGAAGGCGACUAACUGGACGUGUAUUGACGCUGAGGUACGAAAGCGUGGGGAGCAAACAGGAUUAGAUACCCUGGUAGUCCACGCCGUAAACGAUGAUAACUAGCUGUUCGGUCUCUACGNGACUGAGUGGCGCAGCUACGACAUUAAGUUAGUUCCGUCCGUCGGGUAGGGUACGGUACGACGAAGAAGUUAAAACUUAACUAAAUAAGUAAGUUAGUACGGACGUGAGACGAGCCGAACGGACGACGACGAGGGAGGUAGG